AGCACUGUGGUAUCUGCAGCCAGUUGGUUUGUCUACUGGUUUGUUUAAAUGUCAGUGCUAGACAAACUCAAUUGGCAUCGAUGGUCUCCAUUCUGUCUGUGUUUGGAGUCCUGGUAUAUUUGUUGAAACACUA
ensembl:snoRNA small nucleolar RNA SNORA8